AUUGAUGCCAUGCUUCCAGGAAAAGCCUCUAAGCUUCAGAUUGUAAGGAAUCGUACCCCAAACCGACACAGGUGGUCGGGUAGAGAAUACCAAGGCGCUUGAGAGAACUCGGGUGAAGGAACUAGGCAAAAUGGUACCGUAACUUCGGGAGAAGGUACGCUCUUGAUGGUGAAGUCCCUUGCGGAUGGAGCUGACGAGAGUCGCAGAUACCAGGUGGCUGCAACUGUUUAUUAAAAACACAGCACUGUGCAAAAUCGUAAGAUGACGUAUACGGUGUGACGCCUGCCCGGUGCCGGAAGGUUAAUUGAUGGGGUUAGACUUCGGUCGAAGCUCUUGAUCGAAGCCCCGGUAAACGGCGGCCGUAACUAUAACGGUCCUAAGGUAGCGAAAUUCCUUGUCGGGUAAGUUCCGACCUGCACGAAUGGCGUAAUGAUGGCCACGCUGUCUCCACCCGAGACUCAGUGAAAUUGAAAUCGCUGUGAAGAUGCAGUGUACCCGCGGCUAGACGGAAAGACCCCGUGAACCUUUACUACAGCUUGGCACUGAACAUUGACCCUACAUGUGUAGGAUAGGUGGGAGGCUUUGAAGCACGUACGCCAGUAUGUGUGGAGCCGUCCUUGAAAUACCACCCUUGUAGUGUUGAUGUUCUAACGUCGACCCCUUAUCGGGGUUGCGGACAGUGCCUGGUGGGUAGUUUGACUGGGGCGGUCUCCUCCCAAAGAGUAACGGAGGAGCACGAAGGUGGGCUAAUCACGGUUGGACAUCGUGAGGUUAGUGCAAUGGCAUAAGCCCGCUUGACUGCGAGAAUGACAAUUCGAGCAGGUGCGAAAGCAGGUCAUAGUGAUCCGGUGGUUCUGAAUGGAAGGGCCAUCGCUCAACGGAUAAAAGGUACUCCGGGGAUAACAGGCUGAUACCGCCCAAGAGUUCAUAUCGACGGCGGUGUUUGGCACCUCGAUGUCGGCUCAUCACAUCCUGGGGCUGAAGUCGGUCCCAAGGGUAUGGCUGUUCGCCAUUUAAAGUGGUACGCGAGCUGGGUUUAGAACGUCGUGAGACAGUUCGGUCCCUAUCUGCCGUGGGCGUUGGAAGAUUGAAGGGGGCUGCUCCUAGUACGAGAGGACCGGAGUGGACGAACCUCUGGUGUUCGGGUUGUGUCGCCAGACGCAUUGCCCGGUAGCUAAGUUCGGAAUCGAUAACCGCUGAAAGCAUCUAAGCGGGAAGCGAGCCCUGAGAUGAGUCUUCCCUGAUACUUUAAGUAUCCUAAAGGGUUGUCGGAGACUACGACGUUGAUAGGUCAGGUGUGUAAGUGCUGUGAGGCAUUGAGCUAACUGAUACUAAUUGCCCGUGAGGCUUAACCAUACAACACCCAAGGGGUUU
rnacentral:rRNA from 1 species